CUUCACCGACCCCAGCAGCAGCGGGGUCUCCCGCUCCUGGCCGUAGGUGGCCAGGAGGGCCUGCGCCUC
rfam:Actinokineospora bangkokensis strain 44EHW Scaffold17, whole genome shotgun sequence.